rnacentral:lncRNA from 1 species
GAGAUUCCAUUUUUUACGUUCCUUCUUCAUUCUCUAGCUGUGACUGGAAAACCGUAUCAACCUGUUGCAAGAUCAGAGAACACACAUAUUACACACCGUGGAGCUGAGGCACAGAAGCUGAAAGAUUCAUUCAGUGCUGUAUAAGAAAUGUUUGACUGCAGAUCAAGACCCAUUGUUGGUGCUUCUCUGAAGAAAAGGAAAGGAAAAUACUGACUUCGACUCCUUUUAUGAAAAGGUUCCUUGGUAAUGUUAAGUAUACUUUUUAGAUUAAUGGAAAAUUAAAAUAGUGAAUGAGACCUGAGAAUACUUUUUAAAACCAAUUUUUAG